GAUGUUGAGUAUCAAACUGUA
rnacentral:miRNA from 2 species